CCCACCCCACCCAAGUCCACCCCCUGCUGCCGCCCCAUGCACUUCAUGGCAUGGGGACAUCAAACUCAGACCAUCCUCCAGCCGACUUUCUAGGCUUGGAUUGAAUGAUUGAAGAUGCCCAGGCUCUGGCCCAACAACUGUCAUCUUCCACAGGGAGCCUCGGGUGGCCGUUACAGUAUCGGGGCAAUCCAUUUCCUUCCUCAUGGACACCGGGGCCACUACUUGACCCUAAGGGAGUUUUGGGGACUCAGAUCUCCUUCUCAUCUCCCUGUUGUCAAGACUUUGAUUGUCUUCAGAUGGUGCCUCAAGCCAGUAGUGACCAAAGAUCAGACUUUAUAGUCCUGCUAUUACAGUCAGGCCUGGCUGUGACAUUGUGACCUCCUAUCUUCAGCUGUUAACUCUGUGCCUCUUUGUGGAAGACUGUGUCCAUUCUUUUGGCCUCUCAAUGCCUGUUACCAAGAGUCACAGAAAGAUUGUAAGCUGCUGAUGCAAAUGAUGUCUGGACCCGGGGCUGUUCAAGCUGCUGCCCAAAGGCCUUUUCCCUGUCAUGGUAUUAUAAGGGUUGUAACAAGACUCUCCCAUAUAUGCCUCCUCACUAUGUUUCAAAUUCGUGAACUUUUUGCCCACUAUUUAUUAUUGUAUGCAUACAUGGUUUGUGUAGUGGGUAGCCAUUCCAGCUUGGAUCUGGAAGUUCCAACCCCCAUUGAGACUCUGGCAACUGUCACACCUACGAG